rnacentral:misc_RNA from 1 species
GGAUCAUUGUCGAAGAAAUGGCUAAUAGACGGGUGAUUCUCCUCUUCCAUUCAAAAGCAAGUAUGUUGCUACCGCUCUAUAUAGAUGAGAAAAAUGUAAUAAAUUAUAAAAACAGUCAUUCAAACAUGAGAGUUCUUGAAACUUUACUCGUAUAUGUUGUAGCUAGUUUCUGUCAAACGAUGUAUAAUCAUCUACACACCUAAAAAGUAAAAGAGAAUGAUAGAACCUACAUUUGUAUCUAUUAAGUUGUAAAAAAAAAUGAACAUAAUCCUUCCAAUUCCCACUAUGUUUACAGUUUUCCAUCCUUGUAAGUCAGCAUAUCAGGCAUCAGCACAGUUUGUUGGUGCAUAUCCCAGCCUAGACCUUUUUGUAUCAUAUAAGAUAUGAAAAUUCUGUUGUUGGUAGUUACCAAUUAUCGACAUGGCAGAGUUAGGAGUACCUAAAAUUGCUAAACAAACAAUGUCUUCUGGAUCAAGUUUGAUGAAGUAGUUCUCGACGGGGAAAUUCCAUACAGCUCCAUCACUAAAAGUUAUUCCAAAUGAGGGCAAUUCAAGAUUCUCCACUCCAGACACAUUGUAACAUGGUCUAAGAAUGGGAAAAUCUUGUAUUAAUGGAUAUCCUUUCACUUUGUUAACAAAUGCCUCUUUU